UACGUAGGGUGCGAGCGUUAAUCGGAAUUACUGGGCGUAAAGCGUGCGCAGGCGGUAAGUUAAGUCUGAUGUGAAAGCCCGGGGCUCAACCCCGGGAGGCGGGUGGAUACUGUCAAGCUCGAGUCCGGAAGAGGCGAGUGGAAUUCCUGGUGUAGCGGUGAAAUGCGCAGAUAUCAGGAGGAACACCGAUGGCGAAGGCAGGUCUCUGGGCCGAUACUGACGCUGAGGAGCGAAAGCGUGGGGAGCGAACAGG
rnacentral:rRNA from 1 species